rnacentral:rRNA from 1 species
UGGGGAAUAUUGAACAAUGGGCGAAAGCCUGAUCCAGCCAUGCCGCGUGUGUGAAGAAGGUCUUCGGAUUGUAAAGCACUUUAAGUUGGGAGGAAGGGCAUUAACCUAAUACGUUAGUGUUUUGACGUUACCGACAAAAUAAGCACCGGCUAACUCUGUGCCAGCAGCCGCGGUAAUACAGAGGGUGCAAGCGUUAAUCGGAAUUACUGGGCGUAAAGCGCGCGUAGGUGGUUUGUUAAGUUGGAUGUGAAAUCCCCGGGCUCAACCUGGGAACUGCAUUCAAAACUGACUGACUAGAGUAUGGUAGAGGGUGGUGGAAUUUCCUGUGUAGCGGUGAAAUGCGUAGAUAUAGGAAGGAACACCAGUGGCGAAGGCGACCACCUGGACUAAUACUGACACUGAGGUGCGAAAGCGUGGGGAGCAAACA